rnacentral:misc_RNA from 1 species
AUGAAGAACGCAGCGAAAUGCGAUAAGUAAUGUGUAUUGCAGAAUUCAGUGAAUCAUCGAAUCUUUGAACGCACAUUGCGCCCCUUGGUAUUCCGAGGGGCAUGACUGUUCGAGCGUCAUUAUAACCCCUCAAGCUCAGCUUGGUGUUGGGGCCUGCUGCACUGGCAGCCCUUAAAAUCAGUGGCGGCGCCAUCUGGCUCUAAGCGUAGUAAUUCUUCUCGCUAUGGAGUCCUGGUGGAUGCUUGCCAUCAACCCCCAAUUUUUCUAUGGUUGACCUCGGAUCAGGUAGGGAUACCCGCUGAACUUAAGCAUAUCAAUAAGCGGAGGA